ACGGGUCGGCCUCCUGCCUGGACUGAGGCCUGCUUCCCCUCUCAAGGGGAUCUCUGUAGAGCAUGGAGGGUGGGGGAGGUUUAGGGACACAGGCA